GUGCCAGCCGCCGCGGUAAUACGUAGGGUGCGAGCGUUAAUCGGAAUUACUGGGCGUAAAGGGUGCGCAGGCGGUUGAGUAAGACAGAUGUGAAAUCCCCGAGCUUAACUCGGGAAUGGCAUAUGUGACUGCUCGACUAGAGUGUGUCAGAGGGAGGUGGAAUUCCACGUGUAGCAGUGAAAUGCGUAGAUAUGUGGAAGAACACCGAUGGCGAAGGCAGCCUCCUGGGACAUAACUGACGCUCAGGCACGAAAGCGUGGGGAGCAAACAGGAUUAGAUACCCUGGUAGUCCACGCCCUAAACGAUGUUAACUAGUUGUUGGGAUGUAACAAUCUCAGUAACGCAGCCAACGCGAGAAGUUAACCGCCUGGGAAGUACGGUCGCAAGACUAAAACUCAAAGAAAUUGGCGG
rnacentral:rRNA from 1 species